UGAGCCAGGAAUGGUGGGUAGAAUGAACGUAAGUCACUUCUAAGUUUGACCCUUGAAAACGUUCCGCUUGAACCUCCUUUCUCUCAUUUCUCUGCUAGAAUGACUCUCGGACCACAUUUUCCAGUGGCAUAGUCAUCAGAGGAAGGAGAGCCUACCCAGUGUGAUGUGAAUAAAUGGAUGAAGUUCUACUUUGUUACUGCUUCAUGGCCCAGUUUCCUAAUGCAGGUUACGGAUUAUGCAAGUUUACAACAUCAUCUAACUUGGCACCAAUCUGGGCGAAUCUAGAGCAGUGGCCAGUUUGUGAUGAGCCACAUCCAGAAUGCAGUGGGGGAGCUCACAACUGGACAUCUUAGCAAAUACCAAAUCCAGAAGUGAAUCCCUACAAUGUGAGAAGACUCUCACAAUUGCCUUUCUCAAGAACACCACCUUGGCCACUUCACCUUUCUCUGAAGAGCACCACUCGUCUUUCCCCGGAAGGAUGGAUGCAGGAUGCUGCCUCCACAGGGCCACAGAAGCCAUUGUUCCAAGAAGCACCGGCUUCUUGGGCUUUUAGCUUAAUGGAUUUCCAUGUUAGGACCUAGACUUCUGUCUCUCCCUUAUUUUCCCACCAAUCCCCACAGCAGAAUGCAGUCCUCUUCCAAAUAUCUCCAACAGUUGACCGCUCAUCUUCCCGUCAAGCUGUCAGUGAGAGUCUAUUAAAUGGCCCAAUCUUGAAAUCCUUCUGAUGAACACAAAUGAGAAAUAAACUUAUGAAACAGCUCCGAGUUACA
rnacentral:lncRNA from 1 species